GAUGAACGCUAGCUACAGGCUUAACACAUGCAAGUCGCGGGGCAGCAUGGGGGUUGCUUGCAAUCCCCGAUGGCGACCGGCGCACGGGUGAGUAACGCGUAUCCAACCUGCCCUUCACCACGGGAUAACCCGGCGAAAGUCGGACUAAUACCGUAUGUUGUCCAUUGACGGCAUCCGAUUUGGACGAAAGGUUUGGCGGUGAAGGAUGGGGAUGCGUCCGAUUAGCUGGACGGCGGGGUGACGGCCCACCGUGGCGACGAUCGGUAGGGGUUCUGAGAGGAAGGUCCCCCACACUGGAACUGAGACACGGUCCAGACUCCUACGGGAGGCAGCAGUGAGGAAUAUUGGUCAAUGGGCGUAAGCCUGAACCAGCCAAGUAGCGUGCAGGAUGACGGCCCUAUGGGUUGCAAACUGCUUUUAUGCGGGGAUAAAGUGGCCCACGUGUGGGUUUUUGCAGGUACCGCAUGAAUAGGGACCGGCUAAUUCCG
rnacentral:rRNA from 1 species